rnacentral:rRNA from 1 species
GACGAACGCUGGCGGCGUGCCUAAUACAUGCAAGUUGAGCGCUGAAGGUUGGUACUUGUACCAACUGGAUGAGCAGCGAACGGGUGAGUAACGCGUGGGUAAUCUGCCUUUGAGCGGGGGACAACAUUUGGAAACGAAUGCUAAUACCGCAUAAAAACUUUAAACACAAGUUUUAAGUUUGAAAGAUGCACUUGCAUCACUCAAAGAUGAUCCCGCGUUUUAUUAGCUAGUUUGUGAGGUAAAGGCUCACCAAGGCGAUGAUACAUAGCCGACCUGAGAGGGUGAUCGGCCACAUUGGGACUGAGACACGGCCCAAACUCCUACGGGAGGCAGCAGUAGGGAAUCUUCGGCAAUGGACGAAAGUCUGACCGAGCAACGCCGCGUGAGUGAAGAAGGUUGUCGGAUCGUAAAACUCUGUUGGUAGAGAAGAAAGUUGGUGAGAGUGGAAAGCUCAUCAAGUGACGGUAACUACCCAGAAAGGGACGGCUAACUACGUG